UACAGAGGUCCCAAGCGUUGUUCGGAUUCACUGGGCGUAAAGGGUGCGUAGGUGGUGAGGAAAGUCGGAUGUGAAAUCUCCGGGCUUAACCCGGAAAUGGCAUUGGAAACUGCCUUGCUAGAGGUUUUGAGGGGGGACUGGAAUUCUCGGUGUAGCAGUGAAAUGCGUAGAUAUCGAGAGGAACACCAGUGGCGAAGGCGAGUCCCUGGAAAACACCUGACACUGAGGCACGAAAGCUAGGGGAGCAAACAGG
rnacentral:rRNA from 1 species